rnacentral:rRNA from 1 species
GUGAUGGAAACACCUGGUCCCAUUCCGAACCCAGAAGUUAAGCAUCAUGGAGCCGAAGGUAGCUUAGGUGAGAAUAGGA